CAGAGCUGUUUUUUUACCGGACAUAUAAUGGUUAACUUCUGUGCCAUUGUUGGCUGCGGCAACAGAGGUGAUCGAAACAGGGGGCCGAAGUCAUUUUACAGGCUGCCGGCGGUUAUAACACACCAGGGUGAAGCAACACAUGAACUUUCAAAGCGUCGCCGGGAAAAAUGGCUCAAUAGGAUCGGACGGGAGGAUCUCAAACCAUCCAACCACAACUAUACUCGCGUUUGUGGGGAUCAUUUCACGUCAGGUAAACCAGUGGCACUUUUUGACAAAAAUCAUCCUGACUGGGCACCGUCUGUCAAAUUGGGCCACGA